rnacentral:rRNA from 1 species
GACGAACGCUGGCGGCAGGCUUAACACAUGCAAGUCGAACGGCUGUAGCAAUACAGCAGUGGCAGACGGGUGAGUAACACGUGGGAACCUUCCUCGGGGUACGGAACAACUCAGGGAAACUUGAGCUAAUACCGUAUACGUCCGUAAGGAGAAAGAUUCAUCGCCCCGAGACGGGCCCGCGUCGGAUUAGGUAGUUGGUGGGGUAACGGCCUACCAAGCCUACGAUCCGUAGCUGAUCUGAGAGGAUGAUCGGCCACACUGGGACUGAGACACGGCCCAGACUCCUACGGGAGGCAGCAGUGGGGAAUCUUGCACAAUGGGCGAAAGCCUGAUGCAGCAACGCCGCGUGCGGGAAGAAGGCCCUCGGGUUGUAAACCGCUUUCAGAAGGAACGAAACUGACGGUACUUUCAGAAGAAGGUGCGGCCAACUACGUGCCAGCAGCCGCGGUGACACGUAGGCACCAAGCGUUGUCCGGAUUUAUUGGGCGUAAAGAGCUCGUAGGCGGUUCAGUAAGUCGGGUGUGAAAACUUUGGGCUUAACCCAAAGCGUGCAUCCGAUACUGCUGUGACUUGAGUACGGUAGGGGAGCGGGGAAUUCCUAGUGUAGCGGUGAAAUGCGCAGAUAUUAGGAGGAACACCGGUGGCGAAGGCGCCGCUCUGGGCCGAAACUGACGCUGAGGAGCGAAAGCAUGGGUAGCA